rnacentral:rRNA from 1 species
UACAGAGACUGCAAGCGUUAUUCGGAUUCACUGGGCGUAAAGGGUGCGUAGGUGGGCAGGUAAGUCCGUGGUGAAAUCUUUGAGCUUAACUCAGAAACUGCCGUGGAUACUAUUUGUCUUGAAUGUUGUGGAGGUGAGCGGAAUAUGUCAUGUAGCGGUGAAAUGCUUAGAUAUGACAUAGAACACCAAUUGCGAAGGCAGCUCACUACACAAUUAUUGACGCUGAGGCACGAAAGCGUGGGGAUCAAACAGG